ACUCCUACGGGAGGCAGCAGUGGGGAAUUUUGGACAAUGGGGGGAACCCUGAUCCAGCCAUCCCGCGUGUGCGAUGAAGGCCUUCGGGUUGUAAAGCACUUUUGGCAGGGAAGAAACGGCGCGGGCGAAUAACCCGCGCAACUGACGGUAC
rnacentral:rRNA from 1 species